rnacentral:rRNA from 1 species
GCAUGAAGUCGGAAUUGCUAGUAAUCGCGGAUCAGCAUGCCGCGGUGAAUACGUUCCCGGGCCUUGUACACACCGCCCGUCACACCAUGGGAGCCGGUAAUACCCGAAGUCAGUGACCCAACCUUUGGAGGGAGCUGCCGAAGGCAGGUCUGAUAACUGGGGUGAAGUCGUAACAAGGUAUC